GGCCUCGUGGCCUAAUGGCUAGGGCGCUAGAUUUCGGUGGCUUACCAAUCAUUGAAACCUCUAGAGAUUGUCGGUUCGAGUCCGGCCGAGGUCG